AUGGGAAGAGGCCUGGAGUGGCUCGGGGCAGUGAAGGGGAAUAGAGAUGAGGAGGCGCGGAGUGAAGAGCCGGGAAGGAGGAGGGUUCGGAAGAGAGAAGAGAAGAGUGUGUCGACCAUGCGCUUGUAUGGAACACCAUCAGCCGAUCCACACUCUGCUCUGCCAACCUUGCUUCAUUUGGCCUCUGCAGAUACCCACACACCUUCACCCCCUCUUGGUUCUUCGUUUGGCUGGAUUGUAGGUGGCCUUUUGCAAGAAGAGUUUCAGUGCUCAGCAUAUUGCAGUCAUUGCAGCAGCGAGUUCUAUGAAGCACAUCAAUCAAGGCUCCGCUGGUUCUUUGUUCUUGCUGCGCUUUGGGUUGACUUGCCAUGGAACCGUUUGGCUGAGGUGUCUCCAUCACCAUUAUUUGCUAUGUUUUGGAUUUGCCAGCUCACUGACUGCUACAUUUUUCCUCUUGUUGGCCUCUUCUUUUUCUGUCGUCGUCCAUCGAUCCAACCUGCUGUUGUUCGCUUCGUCGGCUUGCAGUUGCUUCUAGAGCGUGCUGUGGAUUCGUUGUGCCUCCUUCCAAUAUAG
rnacentral:rRNA from 1 species